rnacentral:sRNA from 1 species
GUUAUAUGGGCUAAUGGACUUCUCAUAUGACUCUAUCUUGGGCUUCCUUUGGGUCCUCUAAUAUGUCGAUAAACUAUACCAUCUCAUUUGGUCAGUUCUUGGGAUGCGUGUAAGAAAAUCAUCCAUCUCAAGUUCUACUCCAAGCAAAAAACGCAAAAGUGAGAAGUGAAUAAUGGGGUUUAAGCAAGGAAUGGGGACGGCUUAAUGAUUAUACUCAAGAUUGCCCUCAUGGAUUCAAA